UUACCAAAACAUUGGUAUUUUAACUAUAGCUGCAUACAGGAAGUAGAAUUAAUGCAAUUCGAAAACAGGUGUAAUGCUGGCUCCGGUCAGUAUUUCUGUUGGAAAUUUGAAAGGGCGUACAGACAUUGAACUUUUACAAAAAAUCUAAUCCUUUGACCCCCAAUUUUCUCCAUUGCUGUUUAGUACUUGGUAAGUUACCAAUGUAAAAACAUGGUUUCCAGGCACCUUGCUUCUGCAGGAAAGUGGCAGUUUGUUGUUGAAACUGGCUUAAAAAGGCUCGGAAACACACAGAAUUCUCAUGUUUUGAUUUGAAAUCAUCAAUACUAAAACAUUUUGCCCCAACUCAUUUGAUUUGAAUGUUACUGAUUUUUCAGAAGGCACAGCCUCAACCAUUCUGGAAAUGUGCUUGGUUUAUUUUCAGAUUUGCGAGGUGACCAGUUUCCAGACAUUGGUUCGCUCCUGCUUGUGUACGAGAUUGGCCGAGACUAAAAAAACUGUAGUGUGCCACCUUAAGGUUUUAGUCAUUGGCUUGUAAGGCAAGAUAGUCCCUGGAGAAGAACUAAAGUACGUCAACAGCCUUGUCAGCGGAAAGACACUCCGUUGCAGUUACUGAAGGUAAAACGACAUCUUCAGUGGGCUAGGUUUUAGUCGUUUGCUUGUAAGGCAAGAUAGUCCCUGGAGAAGAACUAAAAUACGUCAACAGCCUUGUCAGCGGAAAGACACUCCGUUGCAGUUACUGAAGAUUUGCGAGGUGACCAGUUUCCAGACAUUGGUUCGCUCCUGCUUGUGUACGCGAUUGGCCGAGACUAAAAAAACUGUAGUGUGCCACCUUAAGGUUUUAGUCGUUUGCUUGUAAGGCAAGAUAGUCCCUGGAGAAGAACUAAAAUACGUCAACAGCCUUGUCAGCGGAAAGACACUCCGUUGCAGUUACUGAAGGUAAAACGACAUCUUCAGUGGGCUAGGUAAAUGUUGGCAUGUUUGUCGGAAUGUGUUUCCUGGUCUAUACCGAAAUGUCCUGCGUGCUUUGUUUAAUCUAUAACUGCGCCACAACUUACUUUUCGCCAUUGUGCGCAAUUCAACUGAUGAUAUAUAUAAGCAAAUAAAAAGUUAUUGUGAAGAAGUGACUCUUGCAAGUGCCUCACAUUGUUGUAUGCCUUUUAACAAUGAUCUGAGCUUACUAGAAGUUUUACUUUUUCUGUUUCCAAGAAAUAUGGGUUAAUAUUUAUCUCAGAUGUCAAUUUUUAGGCAAUCAUUAGUGUCAUAUCAGGGGUAUUUCCUCAAUAUGUCAGCCCCAAUUAUUUAUGCUAUGAUUGGGUUGUCUCCCUUGCAUGGGCCUGUUUAAGGGAUUACUUCACAGGGGCCUUAAAUGGUGUGUUUUUACAACAGAUUAAAGGUACAAAUGCUUAACUUGCCUUUCAAGAUCAUGCUAAGCAUGCAAUUUAUUUAUAUUUUUAUUACUUUAAGCAAAAACAUGUGCAUUUGUUGUGAGAGCUGUAAAAAUCUAAGCAAUGCCAAGUAUUUAUUGGCCCAAAACUGCGUGUUUUUGUGUUGCUUCUUUGAUAAAGUUAUGAUUUAAAGGCUGACCAAGUCACCUGCACUACCAUUUGUCAUCUCAAUGUGAUUAAGACUUCAUUUAAUUGUUGCAAUAUGUUUCUGUGAGGUAGCUUUUCACUACCAUGACUUCUACAAUGACCCUGAAAAUGGCAUAGAAAAAAAAGGGAAAACAGGGGUCGGAUUAAACGCUUUAUAAAUAACAAACAAGCCUUCAGACUUGGUCAAAAAUGUAUUAUAUUUGCUUGUUUUUGUCCAAAUUUCAAGAAAACAAGUCCAUAUUUUGCAGUUCUAAGACUUUGCUUGCCCUUAAGGCUGCACACCACACUUUUUAGCCACCAAUGCGAAUUGGCCCCGGUCAAAUUUCUAAAUAAAGAGAACAUUGCUCAAGUAAGCACCAUUUUGAGUGUCUUAAUAAUAAUGAAUGUCAGGUUUGAGUUGUGGUGAUUUUUCUUGGAUGUUUGUAAGUUACCAAAACAUUGGUAUUUUAACUAUAGCUGCAUACAGGAAGUAGAAUUAAUGCAAUUCGAAAACAGGUGUAAUGCUGGCUCCGGUCAGUAUUUCUGUUGGAAAUUUGAAAGGGCGUACGGACAUUGAACUAUUACAAAAAAUCUAAUCCUUUGACCCCCAAUUUUCUCCAUUGCUGUUUAGUACUUGGUAAGUUACCAAUGUAAAAACAUGGUUUCCAGGCACCUUGCUUCUGCAGGAAAGUGGCAGUUUGUUGUUGAAACUGGCUUAAAAAGGCUCGGAAACACACAUAAUUCUGAUGUUUUGAUUUGAAAUAAUCAAUACUAAAACAUUUUGCCCCAACUCAUUUGAUUUGAAUGUUACUGAUUUUUCAGAAGGCACAGC